UUAUAUUAACAGAAAUGUAAGGAGUAAAGGUUAAACCCUUUAAAAUUUAAAUCGUAUGGCAAUUUUNNNUCUAAUUAGAGAAAUAUGUUUAUAAACCGAUGAUGCACGAAUAUCUUACUUAAAUUAAUAUUUCUUACACCACCGUCUGAAGAGUAAUUUUUAUUAAUUAUUCUUUAACUUUUAAGGUUAUAAGUCAGGUCUAGGCACGGACUAUAUUUAAGGUUAAAUGUAUUUUAUUAUAACUAUUUCAGACUUUUUAUGAAAAUUAAAACACAAGUAAAAUUUAAAAGUAAUGAAUUAUAUUGAAAAUUCAUGAAUAAGCUCUUUAUCAUGU
rnacentral:rRNA from 1 species